GUGGUUGUGGCUCAGCGGUAGAGCACUCGCCUAGCAUGUGCGAGGCCCUGGGUUCCAUCCACAGCACCACA
rnacentral:tRNA from 1 species